CUGCGAGGUGUCUAAAGAGAGUUGGGCUAGCUCCUUGUGCCAAGGAGAGGGCGUGUUUCCCAGGUUGAUUCAGUGUUUCUGGUAGUAGUGCUAGGGCUUGUGGCCUUGCAUGGACCGAGAGGUUUCAUCGCCGAAGGAAGUGUCCAUGGGAACCGUCAGCCAUUCCGGCAUUCUGCUUUCCCAUGCGGAGCAUGCGUGUGUCGCCUGUGGUCUGAAGCUGGGGUUCCCUAUGCAGAUACUUGGUCUCUCUGAGGCAAAGUCCCAUGGACUAACAUGUAUGUAGAACGUGACAGUAACUUUGGAGGGAAAUGAGCCCGAAGUGCUUUGGGCCGUUCCUGCCUGUCCCAGAAGGCUUUGCGUCUUGUCUGACGUCACCUUCCCCAGGCUUGCCCUCUAGUCAGAUGCUUCUUGGCUCAGUGAGCUGUUUUGAGGACAGAGAGGCUGGGCUAUGGUGACACUCUACGGGAAAGGACAGGAGGCUUACAGAAGGUUCAUUCUGGGCCUCGUGUCUGUGUCACAGUGUUAAAAAAACACACACACACAAAUAAGUGUUGUAAGCUGUCCCUGUGGUCACUGGGCAGUGUUUGUCAAUGGCAGCCGUCAUCUAAGAGUGAACCACAUCCACUGCGGUUUUGACAAGAUCAUGGAGCAGGUGAUGUAGAAGCACGUGAUCCAAAACAGUGACAUGCCAGCCACAGCUUCCUGUCUCUCUGGGGCCCUAAAAAUGAUAGUCUCUGUCUGGCUUAGGCUACAGCCCUGAGAGGUUUAACACAGGAGCAAUGCAAACCCAGGCUCUGUUGUGAAUUCUGAAGGUUCAGUGGAAAAGACUUAGACUUCCAUUGGUUUCAACCUUCCUAACGCUGUAACCCUUUAGUACAAUUCCUCAUGUUGUGGGGACCCUCAACCAUAGCGGGACUAUCUCGGACCAUCAGCAAUAUAAAUAAUGACACAGAGGGUUUUAAAAAUAUUUUAUUUUGUUUUUAUUCUUUUAGAUGAUAUAUUUUUAUUGUAUAGUUUAAACUUACACUUCAAAUGUUAUUUCCUUUUCCCCGUCUAUAAACCCCCUAUCCCAUCUUCCUCCCUCUUCUUCUAUGGGGGUGUUCCCCCUCACCCCUUCCCGCCAAAGCUUAGGCCUUUCAGCUAGGGCAGCCUCCCAACAGCUCUAACCCGACUAAACUAAUCCUGGCACUACAUCACACCGCAUAGACAGCUCUGCUCUGCUCUGCUGGCUGAAUCUCUGUCUCUGUCUCUGUCUCUGUCUCUGUCUCUCUCUGUCUCUCUCUGUCUCUGUCUCCCCCUCCCCUCCCUCUCUCUCUCUACUCCAUUUCCUGCUCAGCUAUUGGCUGCCAGAUCGUUACUUCAGCCAAUCAGAAGCAACUCUAGGUUGCCUUAGGCAGGCGAAGACGAACCAACAUUUACAGAACCCGGUAACCACCAUAGAAAUGACAAUGCCAGAAUCUUGCCAGCAUUUAGUUCUCUGCCUGGUACAGAAUUAACCACUGAAUAUACUGAGACACACCCUGUCUCACACAAUGUACCCCAUCACCUAACCAUGAAAUUUCCCUUGGCUACUUAAUAACUGUAACUUUAUGAAUUGUAAUGUAAGCAUCUGCUGUGGGACACACACACACACACACCACACAAAUCGCACGUGAAGGAUGGGGACCCACAGAUUGAGAACCACUGCUUUAGACCCUGUCAUGGCCCCAGGGACUCUGCCCACCCUUCCCAGAACUCUAUGGGACUACAGUUCUGUGUUUUAAGAUUCAUCCAAGUGUUCCUGCAAACGCAGUGGACCCAUUUGCUUAGGCAAGCUAUUAGCAUAAAUUUACAUAUCAGUUUCAUAAUUGAGCUGUGAGUAGGAAGUAAAGGCUAAUCACACACAAAUGGCGUCAGUGGCCACAAUGGAGUCUGCGUACGACAGCUCAGUCCCCUGCUUUUGAAGUCCCAAGUGAGCUUUUAUGAGUCGUAUGUCUACGUUCAUCAUGCUUUUAGCUUAUGCUCAGUGCUGGGGUGGGGAUGGAAUUUGAAGGCAUCCUUAGACCACAGAAAGACUAAAACCAGAUGGAGAAAGGAAGUCAGAUGGACAUCUGUAGACCUGAGACCGGGGCCAAACAAGCGUUCUGCAAGGCGUUGGUAAUAGGAUCAUUUUGAGGGACCUUGGAUACAGCGGUGUGCAGAGACCAAACCGUGUGCUUGAGUGCCUUGUAUAAGACAGUGCACCGUGGUGCUUGCGGACAGCCUGUGUGCAGCCUCCUGGGUACUUACGCAUGCUUCUUGGUUUAUCUUGGGGUGGAUGGAGCGUGGGCGUGGGGCGGAAGUGGGCAGGCGAAUAAACAGCAAGCAUGUGGUCAGAGGAGAACUUGCCUUCCUCCUUGUGGGUCCUGGGGGAUGGAACUCAAGUCAUCAGGAUGGGCAGCAAGGGUCCUCACCUCAUCAGCCAUCUUGCCAGUCCUCACCUGAGCAUGUCAAAGCCACUUUAGAUGACUGGAAAAGCCUCUCACACAGGCUACACACUGUUGAAAUCAUCAUUUUACUCUACUGUCUAUGGAGUGGUCACCACGUCUCCCAGUGUUUGUGAUCUGUAGUUUCUUCCUUCCUUCCUUCCUCCCUCUCUUUCUUUCUUUCUUUCUUUCUUUCUUUCUUUUUCUUUCCUUCUACCUUUCUUUCUUCCUUCCUCCCUCUCUCUCUCUCUUUCUUUUUUAAAUCAGUGAACGUAGAAGGCUGACUGUAUUAAGAUUCUCAGUCUUAAAGGUAUGUAAUAGGUUUAUCAUUAUACUUCAUAAUAAAAUAAUAUUCCUGGUCUCUUGCUACUGCUCUGUUUGAUGGCGUGAGCCUGGGAGUGUGGAACCUAAAACAGAUGUAAUAUCCAUUUUCACUCAGCAUCAGAUAAAUUAUAUUCAGGGGGGUUGAGCAAGAUCAUGGGGGCAAAGUCUACUUGAUUCCAAGUUCUAUACUGUCACAAAGGCAAGGCCACAUGAGUUCAGGCUGUAUACAGUCAUGGACACAACUUGUGCUUGGAAACAGCAUGCUGGAUAAUAUUGGGUAGUAUGGUGGGUGGUCUGAGGCAAACCUACUCUGACUUAUCACACCUGGGAGGGGCACAAAAGCGCAUUCCCAAAACAACCAAUGUGUGGUGGUUUGAAUAUGCUUGGCCCACAGGGAGUGGUACUGUUAGGAGGUGUGGCCUUGUUGGAGGAGGUGUGGCCUUGUUGGAGGAGGUGUGGCCUUGUUGGAGGAGGUGUGGCCUUGUUGGGGGAGGUGUGGCCUUGUUGGAGGAGGUGUGGCCUUGUUGGAGGAGGUGUGGCCUUGUUGGAGGAGGUGUGGCCUUGUUGGAGGAGAUGCGGCCUUGUUGGAGGAAGUGUGACACUGUGGGCAUGGACUUUGAAGCUCUGCCCAGUCUUCUCCUGUUUGCCUUCAGAACAAAAUAUAGACCUCUCUAUUCCUCCAUUACCACUUCUGCCUGGAUGCUGCCGUGCUUCCUGCCAUGAUGACACUGGACUGAGCCUCUGAACCUGUAAGCCAGCCCCAAUUAAGUGUUGUCCUUUAUAAGAGUUGCCUUGUUCAUGGUGUCUGUUAACAGCAAUGGAAACCCUAACUUAAGACAUCAUGUUAUGAAGGAACAGGGAUUAUAAGACUAUUGUCUUGUUUACUUGGAGUUUUCUUACAAUGUCUCAGAAACCUACCCAUGCAGCCUUGUUCAUGGACCAUGUUCCGACAGACUCUGAAUUAUAUGAUUAGAUGGUUUUCAAUCUAUUAUUACUCCAUUUUUUUAAAAUGAAGAUAAGAUACUAGAGUUGAGCCAGAGUGGCUAUGGUGGGAAUAGUCAUAGGUCAGAAGGCAGGAUUGCAGACCCAGGCUAUGAAACCGAUCUCCUGAAAAUUAGACUGGCCUUGGAAGAGCAACUGUUUCUUCAUAACAUAGAGUCAUACGAGAAUAAAGAAUUCUGCCAAGUUAACUUCAGAACCCUGGAAAGCAGAGAGCCGCAUCAGAACCACAUUUCCUGUGAGGCUCAGAGAGGACCGAGCCGUGAGCUCAGGUGACUCUGUGUAAAGUGUAGAAGUUGGACAUUGCUUCCUCCUGGCUCACAAAGACCACUUGUCCAUUAAGAGGCAGGGGCAUGACAGGCUGAGUGCACUUGUUGGCUGCAGGCCCUGGCACUGAACCAGCACCACCUUGCUUAGGCCUCCAAUGGCCAACAUCAUGACCCUGGAACCUUCCAAAGAGACAGGAUUCUUGAGCAUUCCACAUCAAAGCUUCCUAAAGGACCCACGAGGUCACAAGCAACUUGACAACAGUAGAAGGUUUCUGGAUGUGCCACAACUAUCAAGUCUCCUGGGGCUUGGAUCCUGCAACCCUGACCCUGGCUGGGAACGGCAAAGCUCGCACGGCUCUGUGCAAACCGUCAAGUACCUGGGCACUCCAGCUAAUGCUCCCUGAAGCAGCCUGGCGUGGAUUCGAGACUAUUCUGUUUUGGAAUGCCCUGGUUUUGCUGUACAUUUGAAAUGCUCUGCUCCUACAGAGUCAUCAUGGAUUAAUUACAGAAGACAAAGACUUAAUAAUAAAUUUUCUCCUGUCAGCCCUCUGCACGAAAGUAUAAAAAAAAAACACAUCUUUUUUGGAUUGGGUUGUGUAAGAAUGUUUGGUUUUUUAAAAACUGCUGUUUGAAUGGCUUAUUUGAGUUUGCUUAAAAAUCAGUAAAUGAAUCUUGUCUGUGGACUAGGACAAAAUUUCCAGCAAUUUCUGAAAUGGCCUAAGCAUACCUCUGCCAUUUUGUAUCACAGAUUUAUGAGGAGCAGCGUUUUCAGCAUUGAUGGUUAUACAAUUAAAAUAAUCAGUUCUGAAAAAUGUCGAAGAUACCUGCUGUCUCGAACCAGACGUUCAGCUAAGACGUAAUUCUCUAUAUAGAAAUACGGAAGCAGAGCUGAGGUUGUGACUUGGUCCCUGGGGUGCUUACCCAGCAUGCAAAGCUUUGAUUUUCAUUCCCGACACCACAUAAAAUGGGAGUGGUGUCCCAGGCCUGAGAUAGACGCAGGAUGGUCAGGAGGCCAUCCUCAGCUACAUGGUGAACAGGAGGCUAGCCAUGGCUACAGAAGACCCUGUCUCAAAAUGACUAGGAGUUAAGAAGCAGAACCAUCUUGUCAGCAUGCAGAGUUACAUGCAGGCACUAAAAUCAUAUGUGUGUCCAAGAAUUGUCUCCAAAUGAAAUUCUUUACAAUUCAACACAAGUGUGUGUGUGUGUGUGUGUGUGUGUGUGUGUGUGUGUGUGUGUGUGAUAUAAUUCUGGGUUUCCAGUGGAAGUUUCUUGAACAAUAAGGAACUGUGUGUGAGUGGGUAAAGUUUAAGAAGCUUGUACUUAGACGGACAGGCAAAGAAUUGUAGACUUGAAAGAGGCUAAAACCAAACCAGAUAUCCGGGGUGGAUAUCUCAGUGGGAAAGAAG